rnacentral:rRNA from 1 species
CAGUAGCCGCGGUAAAACGGAGGGGGCUAGCGUUGUUCGGAAUUACUGGGCGUAAAGCGUGCGUAGGCGGCUUUGUAAGUUAGAGGUGAAAGCCCAGGGCUCAACCCUGGAAUUGCCUUUAAGACUGCAUCGCUUGAACGUCGGAGAGGUGAGUGGAAUUCCGAGUGUAGAGGUGAAAUGCGUAGAGAUGUGGAGGAACACCAGUGGCGAAGGCGACUCUCUGGUCUGUAACUGACGCUGAGGAGCGAAAGCGUGGGGAGCGAACAGGAUUAGAUACCCCGGUAGUCCCUGUCUCUUAUAC